AUUGAACGCUGGCGGCAGGCCUAACACAUGCAAGUCGAACGAGUGGCGGACGGGUGAGUAAUGUCUGGGAAAAUGCCCGAUGGAGGGGGAUAACUACUGGAAACGGUAGCUAAUACCGCAUACCAUCGGUUGGGCCCAGAUGGGAUUAGCUAGUAGGGGGGGUAAAGGCUCACCUAGGCGACACUCCCUAGCUGGUCUGAGAGGAUGACCGGCCACACUGGAACUGAGACACGGUCCAGACUCCUACGGGAGGCAGCAGUGGGGAAUAUUGCACAAUGGGCGCAAGCCUGAUGCAGCCAUGCCGCGUGUAUGAAGAAGGCCUUCGGGUUGUAAAGUACUUUCAGCGAGGAGGCGUUACUCGCAGAAGAAGCACCGGCUAACUCCGUGCCAGCCGCCGCGGUAAUAC
rnacentral:rRNA from 1 species